rnacentral:rRNA from 1 species
UUGACCUCGGAUCAGGUAGGAAUACCCGCUGAACUUAAGCAUAGGGGUAAGGCGGAGGAA